GUAGGUGGCAAGCGUUGUCCGGAUUUACUGGGCGUAAAGCGUAUGCAGGCGGACCUUUAAGUAGGAAGUGAAAGGUGAGAGCUCAACUCUUACACUGCUCCCUAUACUGGAGGUCUUGAGUACCGGAGAGGACAAGGGAACAGGUCGUGUAGCGGUGAAAUGCGUUGAGAUGACUUGGAACACCAAUGGCGAAAGCACUUGUCUGGACGGAGACUGACGCUGAGAUACGAAAGCCAAGGGAGCGAACAGGAUUAGAUACCCUGGUAGUCUCGGCCAUAAACGAUGUUCACUAGGUGUCGGGGGGACUCCUUCGGUGCCGCAGCUAACGCAUUAAGUGAACCGCCUGGGGACUACGGCCGCAAGGUUG
rnacentral:rRNA from 1 species